rnacentral:lncRNA from 1 species
UGUCGCGUGGUUCGCUCGCAGCAAGCUGCUCGCGUGUCUUGUUUUCCUGCCAUUUUUUUACCGCGAUAGAAUUUGACCAAGACUUGAAUAGGUCCCGUGAAAUCAAAAAAGUUCUAGGUGCUAUAGUUUUGCCAGGCCGUAGAGUGACCUCUGAUGCGGAGCAGUUUUCCAAGAUGACGUUCCGAUCACACCCCAAUACAUCAUUUUUACCUCGUGAGACAUUUUCUGGAAAAACAAAAAUUUGUAUGGCGGCCAUCUUGUUUUUCGGCCAUUUUGUUUUUUUUUCACUGGCGAUAAAAUUUGACCAAGACUUUAAUAGGCUUCGUGAAAACAAAAAAGUUCCAGGUGCGAUAGUUUCGCCAGGCUGUAGGGUGUCUCCCUGAUGCGGAGCAGCUUUCGAAGAUCGAAAAGUAUUUCCAUACUCAACAUGAUGUUUCGAUCACAUUCCUCAUACAUCAUUUUUACCCCCGAGGCAUUUUCGGGAAAAACGAAAAUUUCGUAUGGCGGCCAUCUUGUUUUUCCGCCAUUUUGGUUUUUUUUCACAGGGGAUUGAAUUUGACCAAGAUUUAAAUAGGUUUCGUGAAAAAAAUAUUGCUCUAGGUUUUAUAGUUUUGCCAGGCCGUAGGGUGUCUCCCUGAUGCGGAGCAGUUUUUCAAGAUCGAGCAGUAUUGAAAUACUCAACAUGACGAUCCGAUCACAUCCCUAUACAUCAUUUUUACCCUCGAGGCAUUUUCAGGAAAAACGAAAAUUUUGUAUGGCGGCCAUCUUGUUUUUCCGCCAUUUUGGUUUUUUUUCACCAGGGAUUAGAUUUGACCAAGAUUUAAAUAUGUUUCGCGAAAGAAAAAUUGCUCCAGGUUUUAUAGUUUUGCCAGGCCGUAGGGUGUCUCCCUGAUGCGGAGCAUAUUUUGAAGAUAGUGAAGUGUUUUCAUACUCCACAAGACGUUCCGAUUACAUCCCCAUACACAGUUUUUACUCCCGAUGCAUUUUCUGAAAAAACAAAAUUUUGUAUGGCGGCCAUCUUGUUUUUCCGCCAUUUUGAUUUUUUUUCAACGGCGAUUGGAUUUGACCAAGAUUUAAUAA